CUCGGGAAGGGGAAGAGGGGCCGGAGACCGCCAGGGUGCUGUGGACUGUUUAUUUCUUGCAGUAGCCCCUCCCAAUGGCUACCGGGGGAACAUUGGCAGAACAAAGCAGUGAAAUUUGGCUAAAAUCUCACCAGGAGGUUUGGGCUCCCCACUUGCAGCAAAACCCCAGAUUCAACGAGACCCCAAGCCCGCCCCUGAUCUAGUCGGAUCCUCAGGCUCCGCUAAAGGUUUUUGUGGACUUUGAUGAAGAAUGCAGGCUGCGCCCUCCCUGCCCUGUCCAGGGAUGGGGCUCCCAGACGCUCUGCAAAGACGAACUGCCGACCCCUCCCCUUCCCCCGUGGCGGCAGCCUCCUGGCCUGGCUGCAAGGGAGGCAUCUGAACACACACAGGAUGCCAAGCCCUUCAGACGCAGAGCGGAUCCCAGCGCCAACCAUGUGGGUGUGCAUCCCCCCCAGAUCGGCCUUGGCACAUCUGGCCCGUCUGCCGUGUUUUCCCCAUCCAGGCACCCAGCUGUGUGGCGGAGCCAUAAAGGAAACAGAACAAGAAGUUGCCCCUUAUCUGUGUUCACAUGAUAUAGUCAGAGACCAUAGAGUAUAUGUAGAUUUUAUCUGCAAUUGUAGAUUCUGCUCUAUAACCAUUUGCUUUAUGCACCUCACUAAAAUCCAAACGUGGGAUCAAAAGUUUAAAGUUUAAUCAUGUGUAUUUUUUCAUGAUUUUAAUAGAAUUUUUAACCCUGGCUUUAGAUGAUGUUUCUUCUUUGCUAAGAUCCAAGGGGAAGAGCUUGAGGUUGGAGGAAUCCUUUGGUCAAAGGGUUCCAUAUCCAAAAGUAUAACCAAGAAUCCAGACAGGAAGUGCCUUGAGGAGUCUUUGACCUUGAGCUGAUGGGACCAAGUGCCUUGCCCUCACUUAUUCACUUUCCACAAGAGCCACAUCCCCUCCCUCCAUGAAAAAAAACACCACACCUUUAUUUUUGUCUCACUAUUAUAAAAUUAUAUGUAUCUAUUGUUUAUAUUAGACCAGAUAUGAAAAAAGUAAUGAUCACUUAAAUUCCCACAUCUUAGAAAAGAAAUUAGAUUAUGUCUAUACCUUUUUGUUAUCAUUGUUCUAGUAAAUAAAGGAAGGGAAACAGGC